rnacentral:lncRNA from 1 species
CGAAACUAAGAGAGCAUUAACCACGUGCGAAAAUGAAAGAAAAUAAAUAGAUUAAAGAAAAAUCAAGAAGAAGAAAAAGAAGAGAAAGAUGGAAAAACUCAGAGAAUUUCGGUAAGAGGAGAGGGAGAAGAAUAGAUGGCCAAAAUUUUUUGAAAAAGAGAGUCAAAAUUCGGUUAGGGAAAAAAAUAAAAUAAAAUCCUGAUAACCCCCAAAAUCCCUUAAUCUCCUCC